rnacentral:rRNA from 1 species
AGUCGAACGGAUGGUAGCAAUACCAUUAGUGGCGGACGGGUGAGUAACGCGUGGGUAUCUACCCUAAAGUUCGGGAUAACUGCGGGAAACUGCAGCUAAUACCGGAUGUGGCCUGAGGGCCAAAGGAGCAAUCCGCUUUAGGAGGAGCCCGCGUCCGAUUAGCUAGUUGGCGGGGUAACGGCCCACCAAGGCUUCGAUCGGUAGCUGGUCUGAGAGGACGACCAGCCACACUGGGACUGAGACACGGCCCAGACUCCUGCGGGAGGCAGCAGUGGGGAAUAUUGGACAAUGGGGGAAACCCUGAUCCAGCAAUGCCGCGUGGGUGAUGAAGGCCUUCGGGUKGUAAAGCCCUUUUGGCGGGGACGAUGAUGACAGUACCCGCAGAAUAAGCCCCGGCUAACUUCGUGCCAGCAGCCGCGGUAAUACGAAGGGGGCUAGCGUUGUUCGGAAUUACUGGGCGUAAAGGGCGCGUAGGCGGC